UUUUAAAAAUUUCAUUCCAUUGUACUAUUAAAAAUAGGCGUGGCCGACAGAAUAGCCAGACAAUAAUAUAUGACAUGCUACGUGUACCUCAUUCUGAUGAACAAUGACCAAUUUUUAAUAAAAAAUGGAUGAUUUUUUAAUA
rfam:Gossypium hirsutum cultivar TM-1 unplaced genomic scaffold scaffold71.1, whole genome shotgun sequence